rnacentral:rRNA from 1 species
CCUACGGGUGGCAGCAGUGGGGGAUAUUGCACAAUGGGGGGAACCCUGAUGCAGCGACGCCGCGUGUGGGAAGACGGUCCUCUGGAUUGUAAACCACUGUCCCCAGGGACGAAAAUGACGGUACCUGACCAAGAAGCCCCGGCUAACUACGUGCCAGCAGCCGCGGUAAUACGUAGGGGGCAAGCGUUAUCCGGAUUUACUGGGUGUAAAGGGAGCGUAGACGGCAGGGCAAGUCUGGAGUGAAAGGCGGGGGCUCAACCCCCGGACUGCUCUGGAAACUGCCAGGCUGGAGUGCAGGAGAGGUAAGUGGAAUUCCUAGUGUAGCGGUGAAAUGCGUAGAUAUUAGGAGGAACACCAGUGGCGAAGGCGGCUUACUGGACUGUAACUGACGUUGAGGCUCGAAAGCGUGGGGAGCAAACAGGAUUAGAUACCCUUGUAGUC